rnacentral:tRNA from 1 species
UGGUAUAUAAUUAAAUUUAUAAUAUUUGAAUUGCAAUCAUAAUUUACCAAAUAUAGGUUAUGCCUA